UAAUACAGAGGUGGCAAGCGUUGUUCGGAUUCACUGGGUGUAAAGGUUAUGUAGGCGUCUCACUAAGUCGGGUGUGAAAUCCCUUGGCUCAACCAAGGAACUGCACUCGAUACUGGUGAGAUUGAGUACGGUAGAGGUAAGCGGAAUUCCGGAAGUAAGGGUGAAAUCUGUAGAUAUCCGGAGGAACACCAUUAGCGAAGGCGGCUUACUGGCCCGAUACUGACGCUGAAAUAAGAAAGCUAGGGGAGCAAACAGGAUUAGAUACCCUGGUAGUCCUAGCCGUAAACGAUGGGCACUAGGUGCAGGUCCUCACGGAUCUGUGUCGUAGCUAACGCGUUAAGUGCCCCACCUGGGGACUACGGUCGCAAGGCUAAAACUUAAAGGAAUUGACGG
rnacentral:rRNA from 1 species